GGGCGUUUAGUCUAGUGGUAGAACACCUCGUUCGCAACGAGGAGGCAGGGGUUCGAUUCCCCUAAUGUCCA